rnacentral:rRNA from 1 species
AUUGAACGCUGGCGGCAGGCCUAACACAUGCAAGUCGAGCGGAUGAAGGGAGCUUGCUCCUGGAUUCAGCGGCGGACGGGUGAGUAAUGCCUAGGAAUCUGCCUGGUCGUGGGGGAUAACGUCCGGAAACGGGCGCUAAUACCGCAUACGUCCUGAGUGAGAAAGUGGGGGAUCUUCGGACCUCACGCUAUCAGAUGAGCCUAGGUCGGAUUAGCUAGUUGGUGGGGUAAAGGCCUACCAAGGCGACGAUCCGUAACUGGUCUGAGAGGAUGAUCAGUCACACUGGAACUGAGACACGGUCCAGACUCCUACGGGAGGCAGCAGUGGGGAAUAUUGGACAAUGGGCGAAAGACUGAUCCAGCCAUGGCGCGUGUGUGAAGAAGGUCUUCGGAUUGUAAAGCACUUUAAGUGGGGAGGAAGGGCAGUAAGUUAAUACCUUGCUGUUUUGACGUUACCAACAGAAGAAGCACCGGCUAACUUCGUG